UUCAGGUUAAUCAUGUCCUACACGAGAGCGGUGCAAUAUUUUCAAUCGACACUGGAUUUGCGCUUCAUACCACAAACCAUGCUCGCGAAACCAAGCUCAAACCGAUUGUCAUCACAUGUAAUUUGUCUCUCCUAAAACCCAUGCGGGAACUCUUACGAUCCAAUUGGAACACCAUUAACAAGGCCUGGCAGCUAAAUGUGAGACUUCGGCGGCUUUAAUUACAGACGGCACAAUCGAAAAAUUGAUCUCCGAAAAUAAAUUUGAAAUAAAAUUAAAGAGAAA